GUCAGGAUGGCUGAGUGGGCUCAGGUCCCUGACUUAAGAGUAUUGUUUUUUCCUCACUGGGGUGUUCUGGUCUCCAAAUGGAGAUGUGGGUUCAAAUCCCACUCCUGACA
rnacentral:tRNA from 1 species